rnacentral:rRNA from 1 species
GAGUCCCUACGGGAGGCAGCAGUAGGGAAUCUUCCACAAUGGACGAAAGUCUGAUGGAGCAACGCCGCGUGAGUGAAGAAGGGUUUCGGCUCGUAAAGCUCUGUUGGGAGUGAAGAAAGAUAGAGGUAGUAACUGGCCUUUAUUUGACGGUAAUUACUUAGAAAGUCACGGCUAACUACGUGCCAGCAGCCGCGGGAAUAAGUAGGUGGCAAGCGUUGUCCGGGUUUAUUGGGCGGAAAGC